GAUGAACGCUGACAGAAUGCUUAACACAUGCAAGUCAACUUGAACUUCGGUUUGGGUGGCGGACGGGUGAGUAACGCGUAAAGAACUUGCCUCACAGAUAGGGACAACAUUUGGAAACGAAUGCUAAUACCUGAUAUUAUGAUUUUAGGGCAUCCUAGGAUUAUGAAAGCUAUAUGCGCUGUGAGAGAGCUUUGCGUCCCAUUAGCUAGUUGGAGAGGUAACGUCUCACCAAGGCGAUGAUGGGUAGCCGGCCUGAGAGGGUGAUCGGCCACAAGGGGACUGAGACACGGCCCUUACUCCAACGGGAGGCAGCAGUGGGGAAUAUUGGACAAUGGACCAAGAGUCUGAUCCAGCAAUUCUGUGUGCAAGAUGAAGUUUUUCGGAAUGUAAAGUGCUUUCAGUUGGGAAGAAAAAAAUGACGGUACCAACAGAAGAAGUAACGGCUAAAUACGUG
rnacentral:rRNA from 1 species